AAUACCCAAUAAAUGACUGGGAGUUUAUAUAUGGAGUGUGGGAUUCUCUUUAUUUUGAUAGUUUAUAACUCUUAUGUAUGUGCCAUCUUUUUGUGUUUUUCAGGCAGCCUGGGAAAGAACUGAAAAAACUCACUAAAGAGUCAAGACAGAGACACCAGAAAGACCCAAGAAGACUUGGACGCAGCAUCAGAGGACAGAGAGGGAUGUUCAGAACUCACUCAGUCUGGUUAGAAGAGAAUGACUCCUCAACCCAAGAGGUCCUGGAGCAGCUGUGAUCAGGAUAGAAGAGAAUGACUCCUCAACCCAAGAGGCCCUGGAGCAGCUGUGAGAGAGCAUCAGUGUUGAAGCAUUUGGGGAAAUUUAAAGAAGGUUUCCUGGUAAAGAGGAUUGACUGUUACGUAAAGGGUCAGAGCCACUGAUUGGACAAAAUAUUAAGGAUACCUUCCUAAUAUUGAGGUACGCCUGGUCAGUUUGUCAUGGAAAGAAAGGUGUCCUUAAUGUUUUGUGUUAAUUACAUAAUAAUGAUACAUUUAUGGAUUGUUUUAUGUAGCCUAUUGUUUUCUAUUUAUUCAACCUGCCAUCUACCCACCUGGGGAUUGAGGGUUAUGAGAGAACCCCCACAUCACUAGCUUCUCUUUAUUCAAC
rnacentral:lncRNA from 1 species